GAUGAACGCUAGCUACAGGCUUAACACAUGCAAGUCGAGGGGAAACGAUAUUGGAAGCUUGCUUCCGAUAGGCGUCGACCGGCGCACGGGUGAGUAACGCGUAUCCAACCUGCCCACCACUUGGGAAUAACCUUGCGAAAGUAAGACUAAUGCCCAAUGAUAUCUCUAGAAGACCUCUGAAGGAGAUUACAGAUUUAUCGGUGAUGGCUGGGGAUGCGUGUGAUUAGCUUGUUGGCGGGGUAACGGCCCACCAAGGCGACGAUCAGUAGGGGUUCUGAGAGGAAGGUCCCCCACAUUGGAACUGAGACACGGUCCAAACUCCGACGGGAGGCAUCAGUGAGGAAUAUUGGUCAAUGGGCGAGAGCUUGAACCAGCCAAGUAGCGUGCAGGAUGACGGCCCUAUGGGUUGUAAACUGCUUUUAUAAGGGAAUAAAGUUAGUCUCGUGAGACUUUUUGCAUGUACCUUAUGAAUAAGGUCCGGCUAAUUCCGUGCCAGCCGUUGCCUUAA
rnacentral:rRNA from 1 species